rnacentral:rRNA from 1 species
ACGUAGGGGGCAAGCGUUGUCCGGAUUUAUUGGGCGUAAAGCGAGCGCAGGCGGUUGCUUAAGUCUGAUGUGAAAUCCCACGGCUCAACCUGGGGAGGUCAUUGGAAACUGGGGGACUUGAGUACAGAAGAGGAAAGCGGAAUUCCAUGUGUAGCGGUGAAAUGCGUAGAUAUAUGGAGGAACAUCAGUGGCGAAGGCGACUUUCUGGUCUGUCACUGACGCUGAGGCUCGAAAGCGUGGGGAGCAAACAG